CCUACGUGAGGCAGCAGUGAGGAAUAUUGGUCAAUGGGCGGGAGCCUGAACCAGCCAAGUCGCGUGAGGGAUGACGGCCCUAUGGGUUGUAAACUUCUUUUGCCGGGGAGUAAAGCGCCGUAUGUGUGCGGUCUUGUGUGUACCCGAUGAAUAAGCAUCGGCUAACUCCGUGCCAGCAGCCGCGGUAAUACGGAGGAUGCGAGCGUUAUCCGGAUUUAUUGGGUUUAAAGGGUGCGUAGGCGGAUGCUUAAGUCAGCGGUAAAAUUUCGGGGCUCAACCUCAUAGAGCCGUUGAAACUGGGUGCCUUGAGUGGGCGAGAGGUACGCGGAAUGCGUGGUGUAGCGGUGAAAUGCAUAGAUAUCACGAAGAACUCCGAUUGCGAAGGCAGCGUACCGGAGCCCAACUGACGCUGAAGCACGAAGGCGUGGGUAUCGAACAGGAUUAGAUACCCCUGUAGUC
rnacentral:rRNA from 1 species